AGCCAUGCCGCGUGUGUGAUGAAGGCCUUAGGGUCGUAAAGCACUUUCGCCAGAGAUGAUAAUGACAGUAUCUGGUAWWGAAACCCCGGCUAACUCCGUGCCAGCAGCCGCGGUAAUACGGAGGGGGUUAGCGUUGUUCGGAAUUACUGGGCGUAAAGCGCACGUAKGCGGAUUAKUCAGUCAGAGGUGAAAUCCCARGGCUCAAYCCUGGAACUGCCUUUGAUACUGCUAKUCUUGAGUWCRAKWGAGGUGAGUGGAAUUCCGAGUGUAGAGGUGAAAUUCGUAGAUAUUCGGAGGAACACCAGUGGCGAAGGCGGCUCACUGGCUCGAUACUGACGCUGAGGUGCGAAAGUGUGGGGAGCAAACAGGAUUAGAUACCCUGGUAGUCCACACCGUAAACGAUGAAUGCCAGUCGUCGGGCAGUAUACUAUUCGGUGACACACCUAACGGAUUAAGCA
rnacentral:rRNA from 1 species